UGAGUUUUCUCCUUCCCUUUGCCUGAUUUUACUAGAAAACAGCCGUCCCUGUUUAGAAGGUAAGAGCCUCCUCGAGGGAAGGGGUGUCCUGGGCGUGUCACAGUGCGGGUGCCAGUGGCCUCCCCACACUCUAAGGAAGUUCCCGCCACCCUGCUCUGUGUUCGCAGUGCGGCAGAGAGCAGCAUUCCACGGCAGCGGUUUGCUCCUGGCUGCCAGAGCAGAGCAGCAGGUUCAACUGUCAGAACUUCCCAGAGCAAUGAAAGGGGAGGGCCCAUGGCUCUGUAGCAGGAAUGCAGGGAAGGCGAGUUCACGGCGGGCAUUGUGGGAUACUGGAGGAGGUCAGUUAUGGUGAUAUAAUGAACAGCAGCGUCUACUCUGUCACUUCAAGUUUGCUGCAAAAAGCUCUAGACCUCUCAUCAAAGCUGUUUUAUUUUGUCAGCAAAACAGGGCAGUGUUGUCGCCAGACGUGGCAUUGCAGUGUGUGCACCAGCCACAAGCUGCCGACUGAGGUAGCGUUGUGUGUUUUUCACACACCUGAGCAACACAAUUCUGCUGAAACAACUUUGUAGUGCAGACCUGGCCAAAGAUUCACUCACACACAACUUGUAAGGAAAACGUCACCUGCUCCUCUGCUUUGCAGAAUCCAAAUACAAGCAAAGCUUGUCAGGCCCCAAUGGUGAUGGCAGGGAGUCAGGUGUGGGCAAACACUGUGUUUUAGCUACCCACAGGCACCAGGGCUUAGCUGGCUAAAGCAUCAGUGGUGCCUUGCUGACUGUUUGUUGGGGCACCUGCUACUGGCUACUGUCAGAAGACAAGAUUCAGAGCUAGAUGGGCCUUUGGUCUAGCCCAGUGUGGUUUUUCUUAUGGUUUAAAUAACACUCACAGGUACUGAUAAUAGAGUUACUGAAAGUUUGGGAGUUAGCAGCUGGUAGGUCAGUGCUCCAGUCCCCACACAGAUGACACUCUCCCUCUGGGACAGGGGCAGGUCUGAGCUCUCACCCGAACGCUCAUUGUGGCUGUCAGAAUCUGUGAGCAGCUUGUUUAGUUUAUGCCAAAGGUUGAGUCCUGCUUUGUGCACUGUGUGUGAGAAUGAAAAUGAAAAUCCUAAACUGCCUCUUGAAAUAACGAAUGCAGCAGGACGUGUUAUUGUCCCUGCCCCAAGGCAGACAGACCAAUGGAGAAAUGCCGUCAAGUCCAAGGUAAUACUCCACUGCCGUUUUACAUUUUUUGCUUGCUAAACUCCUUAUCUGCCUGGCCCAGGCUGUCCUCUGCCUCAGCUGCUGCUCCCAGCCUGCUCUAGAGUCAAACAUGGAGGGCUCCCAGAGGAACAGAGACUGGGACGGGGCAGCAGCCUGGGCUGGGCUGGGAAGAUGCUGGGAGUUCUGGUUCCCUGAGAAUUGGCCCGGCUCCCUUCUCAACAGCGAACAAAUCAAUUCCACGUCCCCUCCCCAGAAAAAUCAGCCUAGAGCCAAGGGCAGCAGGGGACGAUUCCCUCUAGUUCCCACUGAGGCAGGAGAGAACCCAGGGUGUUUCUAGGAGAGCUUAUGGAACUGACGUGGGGAAACCAGCCUUUAAUAACAGGCAGUUCCAGUUUAAGCUAAGUGUUUUUAACAAUUUCUACAACAUUAAAAAACCCUUCCAUCGUAGUGUCACCACCCAUAAAAUUGCUUCAGCUUUAUAGGUUCCUAAGUGCACAACUAAACAUCUCUUCAAAUCCAAGGGAGUGGAGAUCAGUCAAUGUUCAGAGUAAUCCCACAUAAAAGAACCAUGUUGUGGUACAUACUGGCCCCACCAUGCGGUCGUCGCCUUUCCCUCCUCUCUGUUAAAAGUUUUAGUAUUUUGCACAGAAACUUUCUUCCCUCAGGAGAGACCUGGGAACCAGGGCUGCCAGCCAGCCAAACACCUUUAAGAGGAGGUGUCAUCUGUCAGAAAAUGAUCUCCCUCCUUCAGUUCAGUGACACCCUGAAAUGUUACUUAUCAAGGCAGAGCCGGAGGACUGAAAGCAGCUACAUCAAACCGCUGGGUAGCUAACAGGAAUGAACACAAACACUCCCUUGUAUCUGAAGAGAUGUUUAGUUUUACCCUUGGCAAACUACAAGGCUAAAGGGAAAGGUGAUGCUGGUGUCAGAUAUAAAGAGUGAAACAUGAAACAAUCAUCAUAUUUAUGCCCAUAGCAACUGUAAAUAUUUCUAAAUUCUUCUUAUUAUCAUCAGUGUAUUAUUUUCUCUGUUAUCUAGACACUGACUAGACCUUGACCAAGAAAUUUGGAUCUUGACAAAGUAAUCAACUACCCCUCGUUAAGGGUACAAUGGAAGAGGAGAAAAUACCCUCUUAACAUAGAAUGCAAAUGUCAGUUUGUUCUCUCUUCAUGUUUUACUGAAGCUCAGAGAGAGGAAGAAACAUGACCUGCCGAAGAGAACAGA